rnacentral:rRNA from 1 species
UCCCUACGGGACGCAGCAGUGGGGAAUAUUGCACAAUGGGGGAAACCCUGAUGCAGCGACGCCGCGUGAGUGAAGAAGUAUUUCGGUAUGUAAAGCUCUAUCAGCAGGGAAGAAAAUGACGGUACCUGACUAAGAAGCCCCGGCUAACUACGUGCCAGCAGCCGCGGUAAUACGUAGGGGGCAAGCGUUAUCCGGAUUUACUGGGUGUAAAGGGAGCGUAGACGGCAUGGCAAGUCAGAUGGGAAAGCCCGGGGCUCAACCCCGGGACUGCAUUUGAAACUGAGUUUCUUGAGUGCUGGAGCGGG